rnacentral:rRNA from 1 species
GACGAACGCUGGCGGCAUGCCUAAUACAUGCAAGUCGAGCGAACAGAUGAAGUGCUUGCACUUCUGACGUUAGCGGCGAACGGGUGAGUAACACGUAAAGAACCUGCCCUCAGGUCUGGGAUAACCACGAGAAAUCGGGGCUAAUACCGGAUGGGUCAUCGGACCGCAUGGUCCGAGGAUGAAAGGCGCUUCGGCGUCGCCUGGGGAUGGCUUUGCGGUGCAUUAGCUAGUUGGUGGGGUAAUGGCCCACCAAGGCGACGAUGCAUAGCCGACCUGAGAGGGUGAUCGGCCAAACUGGGACUGAGACACGGCCCAGACUCCUACGGGAGGCAGCAGUAGGGAAUCUUCCACAAUGGACGAAAGUCUGAUGGGGCAACGCCGCGUGAACGAUGAAGGCCUUCGGGUCGUAAAGUUCUGUUGUAAGGGAAGAACAAGUGCCGCAGGCAAUGGCGGCACCUUGACGGUACCUUGCGAGAAAGCCACGGCUAACUACAUGCCAGCCGCCGCGGUAA